rnacentral:rRNA from 1 species
UACGGAGGGUGCGAGCGUUGUCCGGAAUCACUGGGCGUAAAGGGCGCGUAGGCGGCCUGAUAAGUAGGGGGUGAAAUCCUGCGGCUUAACCGCAGGGCUGCCUUCUAGACUGUCAGGCUAGAGCACAGUAGAGGCAGGUGGAAUUCCCGGUGUAGCGGUGGAGUGCGUAGAGAUCGGGAAGAACAUCAGUGGCGAAGGCGGCCUGCUGGGCUGUUGCUGACGCUGAGGCGCGACAGCGUGGGGAGCAAACAGG